AGGGCAAUAGCUGGGGCAAAUGGUGGAUCCAUUCCCAGCUUUCCCAGGAAUCUCCAUACUGCUUUCCAAAUUGGCUGCACCAAUUUGCAGUCCCACCAGCAAU
rnacentral:pre_miRNA from 1 species